CCUACGGGAGACAGCAGUGGGGAAUAUUGCGCAAUGGGCGAAAGCCUGACGCAGCGACGCCGCGUGAGGGAUGAAGGUCUUCGGAUCGUAAACCUCUGUCAGCAGGGAAGAACGGUCACUGUGCUAAUCAGCAGUGAAUUGACGGUACCUGCAAAGGAAGCACCGGCUAACUACGUGCCAGCAGCCGCGGUAAUACGGAGGGUGCGAGCGUUAAUCGGAAUUACUGGGCGUAAAGCGCUCGUAGGCGGUAUGUCAAGUCAAGGGUGAAAUCCCCGGGCUCAACGUGGGAACUGCCUUUGAAACUGGCAAACUGGAGUGUGUGAGAGGUAAGUGGAAUUCCAGGUGUAGGAGUGAAAUGCGUAGAUAUCUGGAGGAACAUCAGUGGCGAAGGCGACUAUCUGGCACAUAACUGACGCUGAGGAGCGAAAGCGUGGGUAGCAAACAGGAUUAGAUACCCUUGUAGUC
rnacentral:rRNA from 1 species